GGCAAGAUGACCGAGUGGUUAAGGUGCGCGACUCAAGCAACUGCUUGUCCUAGCAAAACUAGGGUGUCUUCGCGUGUCGCAAGACGCGUGGGUUCGAAUCCCACUCUUGUCA